rnacentral:rRNA from 1 species
CACUAAAAUCUCAAGGAUUCCAACGGCUAGUUGACAUCGUUUACGGCGUGGACUACCAGGGUAUCUAAUCCUGUUUGCUCCCCACGCUUUCGCACCUCAGUGUCAGUAUCAGUCCAGGUGGUCGCCUUCGCCACUGGUGUUCCUUCCUAUAUCUACGCAUUUCACCGCUACACAGGAAAUUCCACCACCCUCUACCGUACUCUAGCUCGCCAGUUUUGGAUGCAGUUCCCAGGUUGAGCCCGGGGCUUUCACAUCCAACUUAACGAACCACCUACGCGCGCUUUACGCCCAGUAAUUCCGAUUAACGCUUGCACCCUUCGUAUUACCGCGGCUGCUGGCACGAAGUUAGCCGGUGCUUAUUCUGUCGGUAACGUCAAAAUACUCACGUAUUAGGUGAAUACCCUUCCUCCCAACUUAAAGUGCUUUACAAUCCGAAGACCUUCUUCACACACGCGGCAUGGCUGGAUCAGGCUUUCGCCCAUUGUCCAAUAUUCCCCACUGCUGCCUCCCGUAGGAGUCUGGACCGUGUCUCAGUUCCAGUGUGACUGAUCAUCCUCUCAGACCAGUUACGGAUCGUCGCCUUGGUGAGCCAUUACCCCACCAACUAGCUAAUCCGACCUAGGCUCAUCUGAUAGCGCAAGGCCCGAAGGUCCCCUGCUUUCUCCCGUAGGACGUAUGCGGUAUUAGCGUCCGUUUCCGAACGUUAUCCCCCACUACCAGGCAGAUUCCUAGGCAUUACUCACCCGUCCGCCGCUCGCCGGCAUCCCGAAGGACCCGCUGCCGCUCGACUUGCAUGUGUUAAU